GCCGGGGUGUUGGAAUUGGUAGACAAUCACGACUUAAGAUCGUGUGCCCAAAAGGCGUGCGGGUUCGAGUCCCGCCCCCGGCA
rnacentral:tRNA from 1 species